rnacentral:lncRNA from 1 species
UUCUAAUUCCCACUAUCUGCACAUUCCAGACGAGGUGGACGUGAUCGGCUACACGUCGAACCAGAGCGACAGCGAGUCGCUGGUGUCGGGCCACAGCGGCGACAGCGGCGUCGGCGUGCCGGCGCGGCGACUGCGCGCGCGCUCCCCGUACCACACGCACGUGACGCACGCGCACGCGUCGCACGUGUCGCACGCAUCGCACGUCUCCAGCGCGCACACUCGCACCAGGCGCGCCGCGCGCUCCACGAGAGUCUAGGUGGGAGGUGCGCGGCGCGGGAUGUUCGUGGGGUGUUCGCGGUAUGUUCGCGCGAUGUUCGCGGGGUGCUCGCGGAGCCGGCACUGUCCGCCCGACGUUAUACAUGCGUAACGUUAACUGUAGAACAUUUUGUUGAUAUGUACUAAGGCGAAUGUUGUUUCUGUGACUGAACGGUUACCGCCAGCGACGGUUCCACGCGACAGAGUGACUCGACGGCGACACCUGCGCCCGCGCCGCAACAUUACCACACGUCACACAACGCAACACACUCAUUACACAUCUGACCAUCACCAAGUACAAAAUUGCCAAAAAUUUACAUUCAAAGUAUAUUUCGUUUCAGAUUUCUUUUGUGUUUGUGUCCCGGAGCCUGGCUCCGGGGAUUGCGCCUUACACCAUUUGUUUUAUUUUUGUAAUUUUAUUUUUCAUGACGUCACUUAUUCCAUUGUCGUGUUAUGAACACUAUUAUGUAUGUGAAAAAUCAUUAUAUUUUAUUAUUUUAAAUCAUGUAUUUAAAAAUUAAAUUUUGUGGAUUUCGAAAUUGUUACCGGUAUUUGAAAUGAGCAAGUUUUAGGAAAUAUUAAAUUAGUUUUGAUUUGGCAACGUGACAUUUUUAAUUGGCAAUACUAAGGUCUAUAGUUGCUACAUCAAAAUUCAAAUUCCAUUAAAUUUUUUAUUAAAUUUAAUAAAAUAUUGGUCCUUUCAUUCUGUAUUUUGCUUAUGUCGAUAACAGUUUUGAAUUCUGCGCAUGACGCAAGGGCCCAAAGUAUGCUAGUGAUCAGCGAGCAACAUUUUCACGAAGCUCUCAUAUUAUUGCCAGCAUACCAUAACCCAAUAUUUCCUUUACGACCUAAAACGAGCACUUUUAUUUUUUCAUUAUUUAUUUAUUAAAAAUAAUUCAUAUUGGACAUGAUCGAAUGUAAAUUUUUAAAACGUUUUUAGGAGAAAAUUUUUUUGGAAACAACCUCUCUAGGUACUUAUUGUUAUCGAUUUCCACGAAAUGAGAAAUAAUAUUAAUAAAAAGAAAUGCUCUACGCAAAUGUUGUAUAGAUACUUUAUAUUUUGUAUAUAAUUAUUUUUUUCUUGUAUAUUAUUAAAAAUCAAAUAGUUUUAGAUCUGUGGAUGUUUGAUUGACGGUUCGAGACAAUUUGGGUAAAACUCGCAGACGCGGCUUCAGGUUAACACUUUGAGGUUAUUUCACUAUACAAAUUGAAUGGGAGGUUGCGUCCCCCCGUGAACCCGAACUGAAUCCGCGGCUGUCCACGUAAUACGAGAAGACCCACCAAAAAUUAUUAUGUUUUAAUUUAAGUAAUUGUCUAACAAUUUAUUUCCAUCGUUAAACAGGUACACUAACGAUUACGUUGUGGCUAUGAGAUGUAACUUUAACUAUAUGGGCGUAACUAUGGACAAUAUUGUAUACUAUGUUGAAAUAUAAUAUAUUUUUACCAAAAGUAGUUUUUAUUUUAAUCUGGUAACACGAACAUUCGGGUGUCAUUGAGGCCUAUCAGAAAUAAAGUUAGCGAAGAUUUAUUUAGUUUUACCAGACCGAUGUAAACUACUACAGUAAAGAAUAUAAUAUAUUAGAUUUAUGAGUGCUUCAUUUCGAACACCAAGCUAGUUUCCCUAACACUUAUAAUGUUCUUGUUAAUGCACAUCAUUUGGCACAUUACCUAUCAGCCUUAAGUUAGUUUUAAAGGUUGCAAUUCUUUCUAAUAAUAAAUUAAUUAAAAUUGAAUCUUUGACGAACGUGGCAGAUGUUUACAAUCCCAAUAUUGCCAAUUACAUUCUAAAUUAUCUUCGUUUUAAAGUUUUUAGUUACGUCCAUAUCGUCGGCUAAGAGUGCUGAGCUGCUAACUCCAUAAUAGACAAUUAGUAACAGGAUAAAAAAAACUGAAUUAUUUUUUUAUUUAUUACAACAUCUAAAGAAUGAAGAUCCCGUUGGUAGAUAUUUCUUUGAGUUUUAUAUAUAUGCACAAAA